rnacentral:rRNA from 1 species
AAUAGGCUAAUUAAGAGCGUAAGGGGAAUGCCCUGGCUCUCAGAGGCGAUGAAGGACGUGAUAAGCUGCGAUAAGCUGUGGGGAGUGGCACAAACACUUUGAUCCGCAGAUUUCCGAAUGGGGUAACCCGGCAUAUUGAAGAUAUGUCACACUGUAAAGUGAGCGAACCUGGUGAACUGAAACAUCUAAGUAACCAGAGGAAUAGAAAACAAAAGUGAUUCCGCUAGUAGUGGCGAGCGAACGUGGAACAGCCUAAACCUAUGUUGUUAAGGCAAUAUAGGGGUUGUAGGACCUCAACAUUUAAUGCUAAUAGAACUAGAAUUUACUGGAAAGUAAAACCAUAGA